AAUGCAUAUGAUGAUUAUUUACACUUAAUGAUUUAUGUUGAUUAUUAAUUACAUGCACUACCAACUGAAGCAUU
rnacentral:snoRNA from 1 species